UCUUCAUAUACACAUUUUGAACUAACCUAGAAGAACCCCUAAAAAACAAUCAGCCGCAACAGUCCUUAAAAAAAGUCUAGAGAUCAGUAGCUAGAUCUUUUCUAAAAAACCCACCAGCCAGCCGUCACCAUCAACCCCAUCUCCGCCAGCACCCCACCCAACUCCCUCGAAGAUCUGACUCACCCCCACUUCCCUUCACCUCGUAGCUACCGGCGUCCAGCCGGAAAAACUCUAAGAACGCCUAGAACACACACCCAUAUAAAAAGACAUACACACAAAGAACGUCGGAAAUCAGCCACGCACCAGAUUAUCAAGCUGCGUCGAUCCUUUCACUCAUACGGGCUUCUACUGGCUUCUUCUUUUCUCUUGUUACCUACUGAUGCUACUGCCUUAGCACGCGUUGGUGGUGCAUCAGCGGCUGCAGCAUUGAACCAACAGAGUUGAGAUCGUAGUCUGAGGUUUCCGGAGAGAUUCGCGGUUCUGUCAAGGUCGUCGCCGAUUUGAGAUUUCUGUCGGGGCUUCCGAGUGACGGGACUGUUCAUUUUCAACCUCAUCGAUAUGUUCUUCUUAUAAACCAGUGGGAAGAUUUUUUGAUGUUCUGAAAGUUAUAAAAGAUUCUUUAAAAGAAGGUCUACCCCACUUGUAUGUCUUCAAGAAUUUUUGACAGUGUUAUUUGGAAUUCAUGUGGACUGAACGGGAAAGGACUCAAAGAAACUGCUUGCUCUACUGAUCUGAUUGGUGUAUCAUGUUGAGAGACACCCGGGACCAUCCAGUCAGGACCGUUGCAUUCAGGAGAUACUUAAGGAGAUUUUUUUUAUGUUUUGAGUCCGCUUUCCUUUUAUGUUGUCUUUUACUUUCUAGUCCUUUCUAAUAGUACUAAGUCUUUUAGGUGGUUUCAGAAUCUAUCAUAGUCUAGAUGAGUUUGUCGAGUUUUUUGUUAUCGUAUUUCUGAUUUUGUAUUCAAAAAAAAGUUGUAAAUGAUUAAUCCAAAAAGAUUUUUAUUUUUA